rnacentral:miRNA from 1 species
ACAUUUGCAUAAGGAUUGAAACU